rnacentral:tRNA from 1 species
CUCGGCGCUGGCCGAACUGGCGGGGCCCCUCGGACUAUGACCGAGGGAGUUUCGCUCAAGCCCGACCUGGGCCAGUUCGGCGUGUGGCUGCCGACGC